GACGAACGCUGGCGGCGUGCCUAAUACAUGCAAGUCGAGCGAAGUUUUUCUGGUGCUUGCACUAGAAAAACUUAGCGGCGAACGGGUGAGUAACACGUAAAGAACCUGCCUCAUAGACUGGGACAACUAUUGGAAACGAUAGCUAAUACCGGAUAACAGUAUUUCUCGCAUGAGAGAUAUUUAAAAGUUGGUUAUGCUAACACUAUGAGAUGGCUUUGCGGUGCAUUAGCUAGUUGGUGGGGUAAAGGCCCACCAAGGCGACGAUGCAUAGCCGACCUGAGAGGGUGAUCGGCCACACUGGGACUGAGACACGGCCCAGACUCCUACGGGAGGCAGCAGUAGGGAAUCUUCCGCAAUGGGCGAAAGCCUGACGGAGCAACGCCGCGUGAGUGAAGAAGGAUUUCGGUUCGUAAAGCUCUGUUGUUAGGGAAGAAUGGAUAUGUAGUAACUAUACAUGUAAGAGACGGACCUAAC
rnacentral:rRNA from 1 species